GUAAAGACAACGUGCAUCACAUUUUCCAUCGCGGUUUUCAUAUUGACUACUGGAUGUCAUCCUAUUGACUAUUGCGAUAGUUAAUGUGAUAACUCGGUAGUCAAUAUGACAACUUUAAAAUUUUCUAUUGAGUUUUCACUUUUUUUCCAAAUAUCAUUAUUUUUUCUUGAGCUUGAUGCCACAAGUAGUAAAAAAAUGUCUCUGCUAAAAUUAAAUAUUUUCAAAUUUCGUAACUUCUAAAUUUUAAGAAAAAUAUUAGUUUUAACUUGUGUCGUUACUGGAUCUUUAAAUAGAUAUUGAAAUGUAUGUGCAUCAAAUUGAAUACCCCGGUUGUCAUAUUGACUACCGCGAUCAUCUUCGUUUUUAUAUAAAUGUACUUUAUUUUAUUUAUUUUGUAUUAAAAAUACACGAUUGUCCUUAAUAUUUUUUCCAUAGAGAUGCAGGCAUCGACGUAGAAGUUCAGAGAAUUACAAAGUGGUAUGAUAUCCAAGCAGUAUUAAAUAAUGUCAUGAUAAGCGACCAAAUCGAUUUUGAAAGUAAUAUUGAACAAAUGCGCAAAGAUUUUGAUGCGCCUUUAUUUGUUUCAUUUUCAGGUUGAUAUUAUGCACUUAGGCCAAACACAUUCUUCCUCAAUGUCGUCAACUCUUAGCCAUUCGACAUCAAUCCUCAAGGAAAAAACAGAGGAAAGCAUUUAAUGGAGAUUUACAAAAGAAAUGAUUGCUUUCAACAACAAAAACGUUAUUAAACAGAAAACUAAGAAAUCAUUCCAUGCAGAUACAGAUACCGAAACUUGAUAGCAUAGCUUGAAGUAUGACAAUUUAUCGGUCGAAUAAUUCAACAGCUUGUGGGCGGCAUGUAGCCAAUUAACUUCAUCGAACAAAGCGAAAUAUUUGAAAAAGGGCCCUAAUAAAAAAACUUAAGAUACAGACUGUUUGUUUUUUCUACACAUUAUGAGAAGCUUUUUGCCUACUAAAAUGAAGCUUAAAACUAACUAAAAUUGUUAGCAGAUCGAUAAAGACUUUCAAACGUUCUAUGCAACGAGCACAUCAAUACCUUCCUUGUGGCAAAAUCAUUGGAAUACAUCAAAAACUUCAUGAAGGAAAACAUUAUGGACAAAAAGGUUACAGAAACAUUGAACGACUUGGGAGAUACUAAUUUUGGAGAAGGUGAUUUCGUGCUAAAGAUAAUUAAAAGUAUUCACUUCUAAUUAUUUUCAAUAGCAGCAGUUUCAAGAAAAUGUGAAACCGGAGCCAAGUCAAGAAGCAAAUUCACCAUCAAUGAGUGACUGAUGGCAUUCAUCUUUAAAGCAGAGACGAUGCAAAGUAUUAGAGGACAACAUAGUAUUCCGGAAAUCCAGAGGUGAAACUAUUCAACCUCUAAUACUUACAGUAAGGGAACAAAUUAAUACUUAAUUUUGUUAUAUGGCCACAAAAUCAAGACAACCAAUGUCUUAAAAGCUGUGGACUAUUUUUGUUCAAUUUAAACUUCAUUGAAAGAUGAAUCCAAUACUGUCAACAAUGCAACCUACAGUUACGUUAAGUAUAAAAUUUAAUUUAAUUAUAAACAGAAGUAACUCUGUUGUUUUUAUUUGUGGUGUAUUAUUUCUUGGGUUUUACUAUUUCUGAACAGUUUUUUAUUUCUUAACUACAUUCAAAAUAAUAUGAUUUUAAAAAAAUAUAUAAAGUAAGCACAUUAAGUUAGAAAAACAAGUAAACAAGAAACAUCAUUUCAACACAAGAAAUAACACAAACAAAAUUAAAAUAACAAAUUAAGCUG